rnacentral:rRNA from 1 species
AGUGAACGCUGGCGGUAGGCCUAACACAUGCAAGUCGAACGGCAGCACAGUAAGAGCUUGCUCUUACGGGUGGCGAGUGGCGGACGGGUGAGGAAUACAUCGGAAUCUACUUUUUCGUGGGGGAUAACGUAGGGAAACUUACGCUAAUACCGCAUACGACCUACGGGUGAAAGCAGGGGAUCUUCGGACCUUGCGCGAUUGAAUGAGCCGAUGUCGGAUUAGCUAGUUGGCGGGGUAAAGGCCCACCAAGGCGACGAUCCGUAGCUCGUCUGAGAGGAUGAUCAGCCACACUGGAACUGAGACACGGUCCAGACUCCUACGGGAGGCAGCAGUGGGGAAUAUUGGACAAUGGGCGCAAGCCUGAUCCAGCCAUACCGCGUGGGUGAAGAAGGCCUUCGGGUUGUAAAGCCCUUUUGUUGGGAAAGAAAAGCAGCAGGUUAAUACCCCGCUGUUCCGACGGUACCCAAAGAAUAAGCACCGGCUAACUUCGUG